AUGUUCUCCUGUUGUUCUUCACUCUUUUUUUUCCCUUUGCUCACACGAGCCGUACAUAACCCGUUGCUUCAACUGCUGUGCAGCCCAAUGCUUGAAAUGGCCCACACUGUUUAUCUUCUCCGUUUCCAUAACUACCUCCUAAAAAGAAAAAAAAUCUGCUGCAGGUAAUUGAUGGUCGACGCUCCGCUUCCUCUCCCCACGAUGUCCACAAGAAACUGACGGGUUCCCUUUUAAAGUUGCUGCCCCACUCAUUUUAUUCCCAUCGUCCUCCCAUAUGGAUGGAUGUCUGCCAUACGACGCUCAUACUGCUGCCAGUGCCUUCCAUUUAAAUCCUUCGGGUUUCUUCUCGGCUGCCUUGGGAUCGAGCUGCUGUUUUCUUACUGAAGAUUACUCCCCACACACUCUCCAAUAUGAAGGUAGAUGCAAGUUACAGUUUCUGAGUAAUUUUAUUACGGUAUACACAUGGGAAGAUUACUAUUUAGUUUCUGACUAUAUGCGUUUCUGAGCGUUUGUGGGAAGAUUACUAUUCAGUUUGUGGCCACAUGCAAAUUUAUGUUUCAGUUUCUGAGUUUUUGUGGGAAUAUUACUAUUCAGUUUCUAACCAUAUGCAAGUUCAUGUUUCAUACUGGAACCUUUUUCUAAUUUAUAUUUUCUUACUGAUGAAGAGUACUUCCCAGGCACGCUCCAAUCUAAAGGUAUAUGCAAAUUCAAAUGUUUUAUGGUGAAGCAUGUUGGCUCGCUUCCUUUUUUAUUGAGGUUCCACAAUAGUUCUUCUACACUUCCCUCUGUGUAAUUGUUCCAUGUAGAUUUUAGGUAAAGAACACAAACUAUGGAUGCAUUAAUCGAUUAUUCUCGAGUUUCUUUUGUUUGGUCGACAAAGAAUCACUGAAACUUAAUAGUGUGCUGGAGAUUACGAAUAGAUAGAAAUUGUGAAGAUAAACUUUUCAUGCUACUUUUCCCAUUUUAUUUGCUUUUAGGCACAGUGAAGAGUUUCCUGGUGUCACAUGCUUACUCCAAAUAUCACAUAUACAAGUGUGUAAAGACUAUCUAGCACAUGCUCAUCGGUGCUUCCGUCGGACUGCGCAUCAUGGGGUCGAAGCCUCCUGAUCGAGGUGCAUGCUUCAAGAUAAAUCAACCUUGCGGUCAUGGUGAUGUUGAAGUCUCCCUUCAUCUCCAUCUGAUGCAUCACACAGCUGGCUCUACGGUUAUUAUGAUGUUUUCUGUUUCUCCAUCUCGCUGCCAGCUUGCAGCCUAAGCUUUACAUAAUGCAGAAGCAUGCAUAGUUGCGAAUCAGAGAAGGCAAAAAUAAUAAUAAUCAGAGGUGCCUAGGUAUACUAUCAUGAAAGACAACCCAAAAUAAAUAGCAGUAUGUUGCACAAAAUUGUUCCGCUGAGAAGACUAAAAAGUGAGUCUCUUGAUUUAUAGGUGACCCUUUUAUUAUAGAAAAUCAGAUUAUGUGUAAACCCACGUUUUAUAUAAUUUUUCAAUGGAAUGCACA